rnacentral:misc_RNA from 1 species
CCGAGUGAGGGCCCCCGGCCCGACCUCCAACCCUUUGUUGUACCACCUGUUGCCUCGGGGGCGACCCGGCCUCCGCGCCGGGGUCCCCGGUGGACCGCUCCAACUCUGUGUCUGUACGUCGGAGUGAUUAGUGAAUCAAUCA